rnacentral:rRNA from 1 species
AUGAACGCUAGCGGCAGGCCUAACACAUGCAAGUCGAGGGGCAGCACGGUGUAGCAAUACACUGGUGGCGACCGGCGCACGGGUGCGUAACGCGUAUGCAACCUACCCAUAACAGGGGGAUAACACUGAGAAAUUGGUACUAAUACCCCAUAACAUCAGGACCGGCAUCGGUUCUGGUUGAAAACUCCGGUGGUUAUGGAUGGGCAUGCGUUGUAUUAGCUGGUUGGUGAGGUAACGGCUCACCAAGGCAACGAUACAUAGGGGGACUGAGAGGUUAACCCCCCACAUUGGUACUGAGACACGGACCAAACUCCUACGGGAGGCAGCAGUGAGGAAUAUUGGUCAAUGGACGCAAGUCUGAACCAGCCAUGCCGCGUGCAGGAAGACGGCUCUAUGAGUUGUAAACUGCUUUUGUACGAGAGUAAACGCUCUUACGUGUAAGAGCCUGAAAGUAUCGUACGAAUAAGGAUCGGCUAACUCCGUGCCAGCAGCCGCGGUAAUACGGAGGAUCCAAGCGUUAUCCGGAUUUAUUGGGUUUAAAGGGUGCGUAGGCGGUUUGAUAAGUUAGAGGUGAAAUACCGGUGCUUAACACCGGAACUGCCUCUAAUACUGUUGAACUAGAGAGUAGUUGCGGUAGGCGGAAUGUAUGGUGUAGCGGUGAAAUGCUUAGAGAUCAUACAGAACACCGAUUGCGAAGGCAGCUUACCAAACUAUAUCUGACGUUGAGGCACGAAAGCGUGGGGAGCAAACAGGAUUAGAUACCCUGGUAGUCCACGCAGUAAACGAUGAUAACUCGCUGUCGGCGAUACACAGUCGGCGGCUAAGCGAAAGCGAUAAGUUAUCCACCUGGGGAGUACGUUCGCAAGAAUGAAACUCAAAGGAAUUGACGGGGGCCCGCACAAGCGGAGGAACAUGUGGUUUAAUUCGAUGAUACGCGAGGAACCUUACCCGGGCUUGAAAGUUAAGGAAUCCUUUAGAGAUAGAGGAGUGCUCGAAAGAGAACCUGCACACAGGUGCUGCAUGGCUGUCGUCAGCUCGUGUCGUGAGAUGUUGGGUUAAGUCCCGCAACGAGCGCAACCCUUAUCUUUAGUAGCCAGCAGUAAGAUGGGCACUCUAGAGAGACUGCCGGGGAUAACCCGGAGGAAGGUGGGGAUGACGUCAAAUCAGCACGGCCCUUACGUCCGGGGCUACACACGUGUUACAAUGGUAGGUACAGAGGGCAGCUACCCAGUGAUGGGAUGCGAAUCUCGAAAGCCUAUCUCAGUUCGGAUCGGAGGCUGAAACCCGCCUCCGUGAAGUUGGAUUCGCUAGUAAUCGCGCAUCAGCCAUGGCGCGGUGAAUACGUUCCCGGGCCUUGUACACACCGCCCGUCAAGCCAUGGAAGCUGGGGGUGCCUGAAGUUCGUGACCGCAAGGAGCGACCUAGGGCAAAACCGGUGACUGGGGCU